rnacentral:rRNA from 1 species
UACGUAGGGGGCAAGCGUUGUCCGGAUUUAUUGGGCGUAAAGAGCGUGUAGGCGGCUAGGUAGGUCCGUUGUGAAAACUCGAGGCUCAACCUCGAGACGCCGGUGGAAACCAUCUAGCUAGAGUCCGGAAGAGGAGAGUGGAAUCCCUGGUGUAGCGGUGAAAUGCGUAGAUAUCUGGAGGAACACCGGUGGCGAAGGCGGCAUCCUGGACCGGCAUUGACGCUGAGGAGCGAAAGCCAGGGGAGCAAACGGG